GCCCGGGUGGCUCAGUCGGUUGAGUGUCCGACUUCGGCUCAGGUCAUGAUCUCACGGUUCGUGAGUUCGAGCCCCACAUCGGGCU
rnacentral:tRNA from 1 species